AAAGGCCCUGCUUGCAGGGUACUCGAGUGGCGAACGGGUGAGUAACACGUGGGUGAUCUGCCCUGCACUUCGGGAUAAGCCUGGGAAACUGGGUCUAAUACCGGAUAGGAGCCAUUUUUAGUGUGAUGGUUGGAAAGUUUUUCGGUGUAGGAUGAGCUCGCGGCCUAUCAGCUUGUUGGUGGGGUAAUGGCCUACCAAGGCGGCGACGGGUAGCCGGCCUGAGAGGGUGGGCGGCCACAUUGGGACUGAGAUACGGCCCAGACUCCUACGGGAGGCAGCAGUGGGGAAUAUUGCACAAUGGGCGCAAGCCUGAUGCAGCGACGCCGCGUGGGGGAUGACGGCCUUCGGGUUGUAAACUCCUUUCGCUAGGGACGAAGCUUUUUGUGACGGUACCUAGAUAAGAAGCACCGGCUAACUACGUGCCAGCCGCCGCGGUAA
rnacentral:rRNA from 1 species